AACAUGUGGCUUGAAACUUUCCUGCGAUUACUGACCUUGAAGAUCCUCGACCCUUCCGUGAGCCUUCAUCUUUCCUGAUAAAUAAAUACCACCUCUGUCCAAUUCAACUACAGAUGAACAGAGGAAGCCCGAAGCAUUUAAUGGUGAAACAGUGCACGGUUUGAUCCGUCAACGAAAACCCCGACGACUCUGAACUCCGAAUGGCCGGAGCACACGGACUGGGCUCGCUGCCGAGUGGCUAACCAAACACAUAAACAUUGGCAGAGUAUGGUCGGGACCGUAAGCCAAAGAUGUUUUCCGACCUCAGUGAGACGAGUUGACAAAGUCUGAGGCCGACUUAAAUUAAACGAGUAUUGAAGGAAGUAGGGGCGGCAGUUGUUUGGGAGCUCGCUCCCCUAUUCAUAUUGAUUGGCACCUUGACGACGCAAGCUCCUAACCAAGGUAGCGUAAGGGGUAGUGUCUUGCAAGGCCAUCGCCUAUCCAAAGCCCUAAAGCCCGCUGAGGAUGUGUGCGUGUGUGAGGCACUACGUAACGAACUUACCCGUUGGUGGUGCCUCUCCUUACGGGAUGGUAGAAGUUCUAAACUCGGACCCAAGGUUAGUGCUUCUGUUAUAGGACUUAUGUUGUUAUGAAUGCUGGUUUGAUCAUCGAUGAUACUCAAUUGCCGUCAUGUUUUAAACUACUAAAGUUAGAUUAUUGAUGAUCUUGGUAUGAAUCAUAUGUCAAAGUGGACUCAUCCCGUACGCCGGUGAGGUAUGAUCGGACCUGUAGGGAUUAAGUAGACCUAUCCGGUUACAUCGAUGGAGAUUAUGUGGAGUCAUUUGAUAUGCCGGUGAGGUUUCAUUGGACCUAGAGGGAUUAUGUGGACCCAUCUAGGACGCUGGUAGGGUAUAUAGGUAAUCUAUUUAGGACGUCAGUAGGGUACUUUGUGAAAUCAUUUGAGUUAUGCAUUUCUAUUAAAAAAAUUUUAUGCAUUUCAUUCUUUUGGAUUAUACUUAAUUGUGUAUUCCUAAAAGUGAAAUUGUUUUACAUAAGUGCUCUUCCUCUUAUUGUUUUUAA